rnacentral:RNase_P_RNA from 1 species
CUAGAUAGCUAGUCAAUCGCCAGUUUUAAACUGGAGGAAAGUCCGGGCUACAUAGAGCAGGAUAGUUGCUAACGGCAACCGAGGGCGACCUUAGGGAAAGUGCCACAGAAACGUGUACCGCUUAAUUUGAAUUUAAGCAAGGGUGAAACGAGUGAGGUAAGAGCUUACAAUUUUAUUUGGCGACAAGUAAAAGCAGGUAAACCCUAUCUGUAGCAAGGGGGUAGUUUAUAAAUAGUUGCUCGCUAAAUAAACUACGUGAACCGCUAGAGGUGAUGAGUAAUCAUUGUCCUAGAUAGAUGAUUGAUCACGACAAAACCCGGCUUAUCGGCUAUCUAGCUUU